rnacentral:lncRNA from 12 species
AUAUUUAAAUGAAUCGCUGCUUCAGUAUAUUCUUUAUAACACUGACAUUAUAAGAAAAAGAUGUGUGUGAUCUGUCCAAGACCAUGUGGUAUUUAAACGAUUUCACCCUGUCUUGCUGAGUUGUUAAAAUCAGGAAAUAUUUUUAACAGAAUUUCCUAGGAUGUUUUUUGACUAGAAAGAAAUCGAGUUUGAAAGAGGUAUUGGGGUGAGAGAGGUUUGGAGCCGUAUGGGACAGAAAGCCUUUUUCAACACAGAGGAAGGAAAUGGUGUCAGUACAAGACUCUAGAACAAAUAGGUUUCCCUGUAUUUUUGUACCACAACGUUGAAAAACAUCCUAUUUUAAUUUCAGGCCUUAUAAACUAAAGAUGUCCCCUAAAAUUAAUUAUACUUAUUAUUUUGGAUCGGCAUCUGUGAUUGGCUACAUCUGUUAGAAACUUCAUUGUGGUUCCUAAUUAAGGAACCAAAUCUAGUUGGCUGAUGGGAAGGGAAAAAAAUUUAAUUCAAAGGGAGAUGUAAUACUGUGAAAAUAACCAAAUACUUUGUCUCCACAAGGCUUUCCGGGGGAGCAGAGCUUCCCCAAUCAUCUGUAUGGUGUAUCUACUGUGCAUUUUAUUAUUUUCCCACUUGUGUCUUUCUUCCUACGUUACCGCUGAAGGUUUUACUUAACCAAUUCUCUUGAAACGCUCUUCCUCUAUCCUGCACGGUGGUAGUUCCUUCAGCCAAGACUGGGAAGUAGAAGCAUCUCCAGGGAAGAUUUUUUUCCUUUUGGUCUCCCCUCCCGUUUUGAAAUUUUGUUUUUCGUUUCUAGACACAUCAAAACGUUUAGAACUCCAAAAAAAAAUUUUUUUUCCCCUUAGAAAGCUUCGAAAAGGGGAAAAAACAAAAACAAAACAAAAAACCCCAAACGCUAUAGGGUCGUCCCCGAGAGUAACAAGAGCGCCAGGUUAACAAGCCCCCAGCCAGGUGAUCGAAGGGAGAGGCGGUCGGUAGUUCACUGCCCCACGCCCCCAGGAGAACGUGACAUCCCCGGGUAGGUGCCCCCGAUGGCACCUGCCCAAGACCUUCUUGCGCCCAAGCCUAAGCUGUGCACUGGCCUGGAACCGAAGACCUAAAAGAAGGCCAUCACAGUCCGCACACCUGCGCCGCUCCGCCCGGCUCCCGACCACGUCGAGCAGGAAACCCCGCUACUUUCCGAGCUGCAUCUCCUCGGCUCGCCUAGACGCACCUAGAAAACAAGCAACUUCAGUGAUCGCAGACUCCGCUUUCCCGGGAAGAAAGGGCAAGGCGGCUACCAUCAGUGUCUGAUUACACAAACACACCUAGGGGCAGCUUGGGGUGUGAAGGAGGGCUUCAGGGGUGGGGGUGGGGGUGGGGGUGCCAGCCUAGGGAGGGGGGAUUAAAGCAGUUCCAUUGUUACUGAGUUUAGGAAAGCUAGCUUUGGUGUGUGGUUAGAUAUUGGGGGGGGGGUGUGGAAACCGAGGAGCUUCAGUGAGCCUCCCAGGAGCCUGCGAAAGAGCAACACUUUAUCUAAAACUGGGGACCUCGGUUCUUUGAAAUUGCUUAAGAGCCCGAAUUACGGGGAUCCCUGGGUGGUGCAGCGGUUUAGCGCCUGCCUUUGGCCCAGGGCAUGAUCCUGGAGACCUGGGAUCGAAUCCCACGUCGGGUUCCCAGUGCAUGGAGCCUGCUUCUCCCUCCUCCUGUGUCUCUGCCUCUCUCUCUCUCUCUUCUCUCUCUGUGUGUGUGUGUGACUAUCAUAAAUAAAUAAAAAUAAAAAAAAAAAGAGCCCGAAUUA